ensembl:lncRNA
CAAAACCUUCAUUCCAGGUUUGCUACUGUAGCAGAAAUGCAAAUCAGGGCCUGUACCAGUGAUGGAGCACCUGGUGGAAAGGCAGGGCCAACCCAGGGGAGCUCAGCUGCAUGCAAUGAACCUGAGUGACUGGAAGGGGCGGAGCCAGGAUCCACCCCUUCCCUGACCUCAUUUAAGGGUUGAGCAGAGGAAGCAAAGGUAUCUUGCUGGAGAUUUCUGUGUACCAGAGGCCUUCUGAAGGUAAGGAGCUUCUUUCCUUUGUUUCUGUGCUUCCAGCUGUUGUAUUUGAGCAACUCCUUGCUUGCUGUAGCUUAGGACUUUGCUAGUCUGCUGUUAUUGCUGUGCUGCUGCAUUGCUGUAGUGUUAUACUACAGUACAUCAGUGCCUCUUUCAAUUCAAGAAACCAACUUUAAGGCCCUGACGAAUAUCUUCUAGGAAAUGUGGAUCUGAGAGCACUUUCCUUAAAUAAAGGACCUGUUGCCGUUUACAAGCAGAUUCCAUUAGAGGCAGCGGAAAACAUGAAACAAGAUCCCAAUUCAACAGCCAUUCAAGUCAGCAGGAUUCAUCCAUUAAUGAGGUUUGGAUUUGUACAGCUUUUUUCAGUUGCCUUACGGACAACCAGGAGUUGUAGCAGAAAUGCUAAGUCACAGCUUGCACUAGAGAUGGAGAACCUGGUGAGAAGGCAGGGCCAACCCAGGGGAGCUCAGCUGCAUGCAAUGAACCUGAGUGACCGGAAAGGGCUGGAGCCAGGAUCCACCCCUUCCAUGACCUCAUUUAAGAGUUGGUAGUGGAGGCAAAGGCAUCUUGCUGGAGAUUCCUGUCUUCCUGAGGCCUUCCAAGGGUAAGCAAAUUUUCUUCUUUCAUUUCUGCAUCUGCGGCUGCUGUGUUUGGGCUUGUCCUCAUUUGCUGCAGCCUAGGACUUUGCCACCCCACUAUUAUUGCUGUACUUCGCAUCACAUCUAGCAUUACAAGGAUCAAAUCACAGCCAAAGAUGUGGUAAAACAAAUUAUCUCAAGAGCAGCAGAAAAGACAAAUUCUGACUUGUGCCCUCUUACUCUCCUCACAACUCCUGUUUCCCAAGGACUAUCACAGUGGCUUUGCACUGCACGUUCCCAGUCCCCCACUGUUACUGGAGUUCUCUGACAGCAGCUCCCUCUGGUCCCUGUGGCCUUCCCCGGUUGUCAUGCUGUGACGAUACCUCUGCCUUGUGCUAUGACAGCAGGAGUUGCCUGAAGGCUGUUUGCUUAUAUAUACAGCUGCUCUAAAUGCAAUGGAGAGCAACAGAGUGCUCCCUGUUUUUCUAUAGCUAAAGGCUCUUCCUCAUUCACCCAGCUUCCAAUUUUAACAGAAUGUGUAGGAACUUCUUCCAGAUCUUUCUGUGCUAUCAGAUUAGUUGAUAUUUACAAAUCUAGCUGCAGUUCGCCAAGAAAAUCAAAUGCAGGCAAGUAACUGAUUCACAUAUAGAUGGACAGCAUCAUCACAGAAGUUGUGUUUCCUUAAAAAGCCAAGUAAAAAUGUUCCCAGAAGAAGGUUCCAAUUUUAUAAAAUCACAGACCAGGUAUGAAUUAUAGUGUACUGGAAGCCAAAACAUUCAUUUUCGAGAAUGGGGUCGUAAAAGAAGAGUUAAUUUGCUCACAAGAAGUAAUUCUGAGGCACAUUUGCAGAGAGUGUUACAAAGCUCUCAAGGUUACUCAGUGCGCCGUGGGGAAGGCUUGUUUCCAGCCCUGUUUGCAGGUCAUUGCAAACCCAAGCCAGUACUCACAGCUAAAUAGUUAAUCCUGUUUAUUCUAGAGUUUAAACAGAACAGAAAAUCUCAACUCCCUUGGAUCUGGUAUCUGGAAACUGAGCUGAACAUUCCCUUGAAGGCUUAUGUCUUUGUUAGACUAAAUGGCAUCCUGAAGCCCAAGGUGCUCAGGUGUAGGGGAAAAUCAUUUUGCUUUAUCAUCUCUGAACCCUGCUUCCCACUUCUGCUUUUUUAAAUGGAAAAGAAGGUAAGCUUUGCUCAUCAUGAGCCCUCAUGCAGAAUGUCAAACUGCUGUCCUCCAGCUACACAUCCAGCAGAUGUUUACAUCUGCCACAUCCACUGGAAAAAAUAAACACACGGAGCAUCACUGCCGUCA